rnacentral:rRNA from 1 species
GAUGAACGCUAGCUACAGGCUUAACACAUGCAAGUCGAGGGGAAACGAUAUUGGAAGCUUGCUUCCGAUAGGCGUCGACCGGCGCACGGGUGAGUAACGCGUAUCCAACCUGCCCAUCACUUGGGAAUAACCUUGCGAAAGAAAGAUUAAUACCCGAUAGCAAAGGAUUUCCGCAUGGAUAUUCUUUUAAAGGAUUCCGGUCAGCGAUGGGGAUGCGUUCCAUUAGAUAGUUGGCGGGGUAACGGCCCACCAAGUCGACGAUGGAUAGGGGUUCUGAGAGGAAGGUCCCCCACAUUGGAACUGAGACACGGUCCAA